GUGCUCGCUUCGGCAGCACAUAUACUAAAAUUGGAACGAUACAGAGAUUAGCAUGGCCCCUGCGCAAGGAUGACACGCAAAACAAGAAAAUAAAACCUGUUCUC